AUCAUUUUACCAGCAGCUAAACAACGCUACUCUUCUGUUCCAUUAGAAAGAGAAGAUUCUGGAAGAUGAAGUUUCUUCUUCUUGCUCUAGCCUGUUUGGUUUCUGGCAACAAGCAACCCUUACAGUUUUCAGGGAAAUUCAAUACUAUCUAUCUAGCAAGUAAAUCUAUGGGAGCAACAGCUGAAAAUAGUCCAGAGCGUAUUCUGAUGCGUGAGGUUAACUUUUUUAAGAAAAACAGUGUCAUGAGCAUGACGUUUUAUGUCAGCAACUGGAACAAAUGUCACUAAAGAAAUGUGGGACGAAUACGUGAAGCUAAAUGAGUACCUCAAAAUUCCUAUUGAAAAUAUUGAAAAUGUCUAUGAAACAGAUGUGUGUCCUAAAUAGGAGCCUUGAUGUCAUGAGCAGAAAAUUUGUAUUGGUCACCAUUUUCAAUUCACUGGAAUUAAAUUUUGAGGUCAAUUCAAGACUGUAAACACAAAGUAUUUACAAUUGCCACUCAGG